UACGUAGGGGGCAAGCGUUGUUCGGAAUUACUGGGCGUAAAGGGCGCGUAGGCGGCACGGCAAGUCAGGAGUGAAAGGCCUGGGCUCAACCGAGGAACUGCUUUUGAGACUGCCGAGCUAGAGUGCGGAAGGGGCAACCGGAAUUCCCAGUGUUGCGGUGAAAUGCGUAGAUAUUGGGAAGAACACCUGAGGCGAAGGCGGGUUGCUGGGCCGACACUGACGCUGAGGCGCGAAAGCGUGGGGAGCGAACAGG
rnacentral:rRNA from 1 species